GUGUGUCUCUCCGAUGCGAUUGGCUCACGGCCCGACAGGAAGUGAGCGACACCCCACCUCCCCAUGGCUCCGCCUUCGGCGGGCCGCUCCUCCCUUGCCCAGCAUGUUGUGCUGCUUGUGCAGUGCAUUCUAGUCCUGCAAGCUGGGGGCGUGGUCUGCAGGAAAGGGCCGGUGCUGCUGCCUGAGUCGCCCUGUCACCGGGCUGAACACCCUCUUAUCUCACACACAGAAACCACCUGUUCAGACUCAAUCUGGAGGACCUCUCGCUGAUCCAGGUGAGUCUUUACCAGCAUUGCCAGUCCCUCAGCCAUUGCUACCCAUAUGUCCCCCUCUAUCUCUCUAUCCCUCUAUCCCUCUUUCUCUAUCUCUCUAUCCCUCCCUCUUUCUCUNNNNNNNNNNGACUCACUCAGUGCUGGAGUCUGCCCCUGGCCAUCCGUACAUUUAAAAAACAAGUGUUCCGUCUGCUUUGCUUAAUAUAAGGAAUUGUUUAUAAUUUGUGCAUGUACAUCCCUGGUCAUCCCUACUGCCUCUGAUCUGGAGGACUCACUCAGUGCUGGAGUCUGCCCCUGGCCAUCCGUACAUUUAAAAAACAAGUCUGCUUUGCUUAAUAUAAGGAAUUGUUUAUAAUGUACUUUUGCUUUUGAAACUUAAAUAUAUUUUAUAAAUUACAUUUAUUGAUGAUACAAAGUACAUUUAAAUCCAAAUACUUACAUUUUUUUACUCAAAUACUAUUUUACUGGGUGACUUUCACUUUUACUUGAGUCAUUUUCUAUUAAUACUUUUACUCAAAUUUGUACUUUUUCCACCACUGCAUCUGUAUCUACAGGAAAUUUGUAAAGUAUGUAAUCUUUAUUCUGUUCGGUUUAGACGGGAUUUCUAUUCAAAACCACAAAGAUAUAACUAGUUUCGACUGGCAGUAAUAUAGUAUGUAUGUAGUUACAUCUGAACAGGCCCUUUGGAGUGACCCAGAAAGAUAGCUGUGAUUAAUCAAAGGUUUGAUGAGGUAGAGGAAGUAACCAAUAUGGGAGUAAAAUA
rnacentral:lncRNA from 13 species